GGUCGAUGAUGAUUAGUGUGAACCUUUCUCAAUGAAAUCCUUUUGUGAUUACACACAUACUGCCUUCCUUCUGAGGCU
rfam:Brachypodium distachyon strain Bd21 chromosome 2, whole genome shotgun sequence.